rnacentral:lncRNA from 1 species
UUUGAGAUCGUUCGGAGUAGGUCCGCAUGGGACGGGUAAUGGCUUCAAAGUGCCAGUCAUUUUGCUGGAGGAUAUCCUCCCAGACUAGAGCCUUUGGAACAAAGACGGUGCUACGAUCUUUGUUUGCUUCCAUAAGAGUGGUAACCCCUUUAGGGCUAGUGAACCUAGCUUUAGGAGCUAAGGUAGUACCCAUAAGUCGAUAAUAUACACGGUAGAUUAUCGCUAUUUCUCGUGUGUUAUCCUUACUAUUCAUGUUUUUUGUUUUAACAUUUAAUGUCAAAACAUCCAUGAUGUUCGGAUCAUUGAUAUCAACUGAGAAAUUUGGGUAACAGUUAAAGUAAACCGGGCCAUCGGCGAGGUUACUUUGAAUUACGCCUAAGAGUGAAUCGUCGAAGUUUAACAGACGAGCAUCUCUUAGGAUAGCGCAGACAGGNNN